AUACGGAGGAUCCGAGCGUUAUCCGGAUUUAUUGGGUUUAAAGGGAGCGUAGGUUGACGUAUAAGUCAGCUGUGAAAGUUUACGGCUCAACCGUGAAAUUGCAGUUGAUACUGUAUGUCUUGAGUGUACAAGAGGUGGGCGGAAUUCGUGGUGUAGCGGUGAAAUGCUUAGAUAUCACGCAGAACCCCGAUCGCGAAGGCAGCCUGCCAGGCCGUGACUGACACUGAUGCACGAAAGCGUGGGUAUC
rnacentral:rRNA from 1 species